AACCCCUGUGAACAUACCACUUGUUGCCUCGGCGGAUCAGCCCGCUCCCGGUAAAACGGGACGGCCCGCCAGAGGACCCCUAAACUCUGUUUCUAUAUGUAACUUCUGAGUAAAACCAUAAAUAAAUCAAAACUUUCAACAACGGAUCUCUUGGUUCUGGCAUCGAUGAAGAACGCAGCAAAAUGCGAUAAGUAAUGUGAAUUGCAGAAUUCAGUGAAUCAUCGAAUCUUUGAACGCACAUUGCGCCCGCCAGUAUUCUGGCGGGCAUGCCUGUUCGAGCGUCAUUUCAACCCUCAAGCACAGCUUGGUGUUGGGACUCGCGUUAAUUCGCGUUCCCCAAAUUGAUUGGCGGUCACGUCGAGCUUCCAUAGCGUAGUAGUAAAACCCUCGUUACUGGUAAUCGUCGCGGCCACGCCGUUAAACCCCAACUUCUGAAUGUUGACCUCGGAUCAGGUAGGAAUACCCGCUGAACUUAAGCAUAU
rnacentral:rRNA from 1 species